UAGACAGCCUCGUCCUCGGCUUGGACCCCAGUGAUGGUUAAUGUGCCCAUGGAGCCGGAUUUGGAACCGGAGAAUCGUGAAGGGAUGUCCGAGGGUCUCUUGUCGUUGUAAUAGAUCACAGUGACAGGGGCACUGCCAGGUGACUUCUGCUGAUACCAGCCAUAGCUGCCACUACUCCCGGAGCAGGUGAUCUUGACGGUUCCUCCCAGGUUUGCUGACACUGAGGCCGGCUGAGUCAGCGCUGCCUGCACCAGGGAACCUG
rnacentral:lncRNA from 1 species